CCUACGGGUGGCAGCAGUGGGGAAUAUUGCACAAUGGGGGGAACCCUGAUGCAGCGACGCCGCGUGAGUGAAGAAGUAUUUCGGUAUGUAAAGCUCUAUCAGCAGGGAAGAAAAUGACGGUACCUGACUAAGAAGCCCCGGCUAACUACGUGCCAGCAGCCGCGGUAAUACGUAGGGGGCAAGCGUUAUCCGGAUUUACUUGGUGUAAAGGGAGCGUAGACGGUUAUGCAAGUCUGAAGUGAAAGCCCAAGGCUCAACCAUGGGACUGCUUUUGAAACUGUAAAACUGGAGUGCAGGAGAGGUAAGCGGAAUUCCUAGUGUAGCGGUGAAAUGCGUAGAUAUUAGGAGGAACACCGAUUGCGAAGGCAUCUCACGAGUCCGCGAUUGACGCUGAUGCACGAAAGCGUGGGUAUCAAACAGGAUUAGAUACCCUUGUAGUC
rnacentral:rRNA from 1 species